AACGCUAGCUACAGGCUUAACACAUGCAAGUCGAGGGGAAACGAUAUUGGAAGCUUGCUUCCGAUAGGCGUCGACCGGCGCACGGGUGAGUAACGCGUAUCCAACCUGCCCAUCACUUGGGGAUAACCUUGCGAAAGUAAGACUAAUACCCAAUGACGUCUCUAGAAGACAUCUGAAAGAGAUUAAAGAUUUAUCGGUGAUGGAUGGGGAUGCGUCUGAUUAGCUUGUUGGCGGGGUAACGGCCCACCAAGGCAACGAUCAGUAGGGGUUCUGAGAGGAAGGUCCCCCACAUUGGAACUGAGACACGGUCCAAACUCCUACGGGAGGCAGCAGUGAGGAAUAUUGGUCAAUGGGCGAGAGCCUGAACCAGCCAAGUAGCGUGCAGGAUGACGGCCCUAUGGGUUGUAAACUGCUUUUAUACAGGAAUAAAGUUAGCCACGUGUGGUUAUUUGUAGGUACUGUAUGAAUAAGGACCGGCUAAUUCCGUGCCAGCAGCCGCGGUAAUACGGAAGGUCCAGGCGUUAUCCGGAUUUAUUGGGUUUAAAGGGAGCGUAGGCCGUCUGUUAAGCGUGUUGUGAAAUGUAGAUGCUCAACAUCUGAAUUGCAGCGCGAACUGGCAGACUUGAGUGUGCGCAACGUAGGCGGAAUUCGUGGUGUAGCGGUGAAAUGCUUAGAUAUCACGAAGAACUCCGAUUG
rnacentral:rRNA from 1 species